GACGGAACACCAACCUGACCCCCCUGGAGAGAAUGGAGAACACAUGCUGCCCUUUGGAAGUUUUGCAUCGAUUUGGGUUUGCACCCCCCCAGGCAGGCCAAACCCAGCCCUCUGAUCUUUGAGGACUCUGAUCUCUGAGGACUCUGGUCUCUGAGGACUCUGGUCUCUGAGGACUCUGAUCUCUGGUCUCUGAGGACUCUGGUCUCCGAGGACUCUGGUCUCUGAGGACUCUAGUCUCUGAGGACUCUGAUCUCUGGUCUCUGAGGACUCUGGUCUCUGAGGACUCUGGACUCUGGUCUCUGAGGACUCUGGUCUCUGAGGACUCUGGUCUCUGCUCUCUGAGGACUCUGGUCUCUGAGGACUCUGGUCUCUGAGGAUUCUGGUCUCUGAGGACUCUGGUCUCUGAGGACUCUGGUCUCUGAGGACUCUGAUCUCUGAGGACUCUGGUCUCUGGUCUGUGAGGUCUCUGACCUCUGAGGACUCGGUCGAGACACCAGGUAGACCGGAGCGAGCCAAGGGAGGAUGAGGAGGUUUUUCAGAGCGCGAGACGAAGACUCCAGUCAGAUCCAGUACCUGACGGCCAAGUGUCACCGGCUGGCUCACGAGAGAGCCCAGCUUGAGAGGGACACCUUGGUGACCAGGGAGAGACAGCGGAGGCUACAGAAUGAUCUGGAAGCGAUGGGCGCUCACCUCCAGCAGAAGGAGCAGAUGAUUGUGGAGCUGAGGAGAAAACAGGACUACCUGGUGGACCACCUCAACCGACAGCAGGGCCUGGUGGAAUUCCUUAAGCAUCAUGCGGGCCUGAGAGCGGAGGUGGGCCCUACGGCGGAGGAGAACUUGAGAGACACCGAGCUGCUGGCUACGGAGCUGGAGCAGCUCCGCUCUGAGCUGCUGGCGCUGCAGAGCUCCGACGGGCAGCUGGUGGGCCUGGUGGAGGAGCUCUACGCUGAGGCCCAGCACAGAGCAGCACUGGUAGACAGCCUCCAGGAGGAGCUGCACAGUAAAUCAACGGAGGUCGAGGACCUGCGGAGACACCGGCAGAAACAGAGAGAGGAGCUGGAGCAGCUCCAGAGCGCCCACCAGAGGAAGGUGUGUGUGCUGCAGCAGGAGAACAGCAGCAGUGUUCAGAAGCUGCAGCAGACAGCCGUUCAGUUCGAGCGGCUCUGCAAACAGCAGCGCUACUGGAUGCUCUGUGUCAAAAGGUACAAAGACUGUCUGACGGAGGAGAGGGAGGCGGUGGUUCAGCAGGUCAGUGACCUGGAGCAGACCGUCCUGAAGCCCAGGGGAUGUUCCCACUGCAGCAGACAGUACCACUGCCCCCUGCAGGACAGGGGCAGCAACUCCAGGCAUCGGCACCAGUCUAUGUGUGGUGCAGAGUUCCGGGCUGACCAGCAGGGGGAGCCGUGGUCAGCCCUGUGUGAGGACAAAGUCAUCACUCAGGUGGGAGGCGUGGUCGACACGGAGCAGAAACCUCCUUGAGGUUCUCCCUCCGACCAGACGAGUGUGGCUCUCCUCCCAGCCCUCUUUAGAAGAUCGAAGAACACCAGAGAGACUGUACGUCGGAACUCCGUCCGCACUCUGGUUUCACUGUUGUUAUUGUGGAGUGAACACUGAAAUAAUAAAG
ensembl:lncRNA